AUGAAGAUCGAUGCUACCGAUCAUGCAAAUGCCCUAGAUAAUGCCAUUGGUAAAGAAAGGUUAUUCUACAUAGGAAUGAAUACUGAUUUGGCUGCCAAGUACCCUAUAAAAUAUGUCCUAAAGAAAAGUUUCUCUGUCGACAAUAAUAAUUCAGUACCUCUAUUACCACCAGCAAAGGUUAGCAACUUUUUACUAUUAUUUGAUUAUUACUAUUACUAUAUCACACUGUUUUACUUGAAACGACAAACUUUUCAGACAGCCCAACAGACAAACCUACUGCCCCCUCCAACUUCAUCCAACAUAAGUGCUCAAAGGUUACCAACCAUUUAUCAAAUUUAUUAUGAUCAAUGUAUUCACAGAGUAGUACAUCCAUAUUUUCUAAUCAAUUUUGUCCUAUUAUUUUCAGUCCAAUUGGACAAAACACCGAGGCCUCCUCUGAGAAUACACCUCCAAUUGGUAAUCAAACACAUACCAAGAUAA
rnacentral:rRNA from 1 species